GAGAAGGUCCCAAGGGUCCGGCUGUUCGCCGGUUAAAGCGGUACGCGAGCUGGGUUUAGAACGUCGUGAGACAGUUCGGUCUCUAUCUGCUGUGGGCGUAGGAUAUUUGAGGAGAGUCAUCUUCAGUACGAGAGGACCAGGAUGAACGAACCUCUGGUGUGCCAGCUGUUCCGCCAGGAGCAAAGGCUGGGUAGCCAUGUUCGGAAUGGAUAAGCGCUGAAAGCAUCUAAGCGCCAAGCCAACUCCAAGAUGAGAUAUCCCGGACCAUAAGGUUCCUAAAGGCACCUCGAAGACUACGAGGUUGAUAGGCUCUAGGUGUAAGCACAGUAAUGUGUUCAGCCGAGGAGUACUAAUCUGCCGUGCGGCUUGACCAC
rnacentral:rRNA from 1 species